GUGGUUUGUGCUUGCCGCAAACUCUGUGGUACCAAGAUCCCAAACCAGUGCAAGGGGUCCUGAGCGGGCGCUGGCCCCCUAGGUUCAGUUGUUGUGGGCCGGAUGGUUUCUGCGGGGCCUUUCCUGUGCCGUAGCUCUGCGAGAGAAGACAAAAUUAGUAUAUCAGGACUCCUGAGGGGUUAAAUGGCCACAAUUCAUUACAAAGGCCAACUAGAUUAUUUAUAUGGAUACAAAUGUAACCCCUUCACUACCAAGAAAUUUGCAAGAGUGUCCUAGAACGUAAUGUUUCAGUAGGGAUUCAUAGCACAUUAUUUAAUGGAAGCAAAAACGAAAAUUAUGGUUGGACAGAAAAACGAUUAAAAAUCAUUUCCCAAAUAACAAAGUUACAGAUAGGAAA